rnacentral:rRNA from 1 species
AGACGUCUACAUUAGAUACCCGUGUAGUCCCAGCCGUAAACUAUGCGCGUUAGGUGUACCGGUGACCACGAGUCACCGAGGUGCCGAAGGGAAACCGUGAAACGUGCCGCCUGGGAAGUACGGUCGCAAGGCUGAAACUUAAAGGAAUUGGCGGGGAGCACCACAACGGGUGGAGCCUGCGGUUUAAUUGGACUCAACGCCGGGAAGCUCACCGGAUAAGACAGCGGAAUGAUUGCCGGGCUGAAGACUCUGCAUGACUAGCUG